GGUUUCAUGUUUUUGUAGCGGACAGUUGGUCCAGGGGCGCAGUGCGGAGCUCGGAGGCGCAUUGUGGAGCCGUGUGGGCGGGCUCGGAGGCUGUGUGCGGCCGCUGCGGGCCGGAGGCGGCGGGGCUCGGGCCGCCGGCGGGGAAAGAACCGAUGCGGCCGCUGCUCGGUUGUGGCCUGCUGUCACUGCCCGGGCUGCACGGUUAGCUCGGGGUAGCACAGGGGCAGAGUGUAGCCUCCGCAGGGGCAGCAGGAGCCGGGGAGGCUGCGGGGUUGAGCCCGCACUGUCGCUGCCGUCGGGCCCCGCAGCGGGAGCAGCUCCUGCGGGAUUAACGCGGGUUUUAUCGGGGAAGUAAACACGGACGCGUUAGCCGCGGACGGGUAGCUGUCAGGCUAACGCGGACGGGUUCAGGCUCCGUUUGGCGCCAACGUGAACCAGAAUAUAAACAGAACUUACGCCGCGAACUUGCAGUCUGACUCGUUGUUGAACACUCUGACUUUAUAAAGUUUAAUUAUUUAAUCUGCGGCGCUGCUGCUGCUAAUGCUAGCCGAGCCCUUAGCACGCUACGCUAACGUUAGCUAGCUUCAGCCCCAGACGUGAACUUCUCCCGCCCGAGUCCAACAGCUCGGUUCCGCUGUCGGUCUCUGACAGCGGGUCCAUGCCGGCGGCUGCAGCCUCCAUGUUGGAUGUUGUGAACGUUGAACGGAGGCCGGAGAGGAUUUUACAACCGCGUUGUUUAUGUGCGACACCCAGCAGGGCUGUGUGUGGAGCUAGCUGCUGGAUGCUAACGUUAGCUGCCGCUGUGAAUGGACACAUGUUCGGGACACACAGAACCACGGUCUCCUUUAUUGGACUUUUAUUACUUUUAUUCAUGUAUUUGGUCUAAGUGCAGUCCUGUCACACAGCCUGAUGAUGAUUCUAAUAAUAAUGAGUUUUUAAUCAGUUAACAGCUCAAACUCUUCACCCACCAAACUCCAUUCAUAAAAAGGUCAUUUCUGUAUUUACUUUCUUAUCGCAGCCUCCACUUACUGACUGUUAUUGUGUACCCGGUAGACCUAUUUAAUACAUCUGUAUUGUUUAUUUUACAUAUUGACUAUGUUCAUAAUGUUUUUACAGAAUCACUUUUAUUGGACACAUACGAGGAAUUAAUUUUAUGGAACCAGAGAGCAAAAGGACAGACUGAAGGAAAUGUGAUGGGAAUGCUUUAAUUACAGCUUUAUAACAGCUGAGACACUUCACCCACCAAACUCCAUUCAUAAAAAGGUCGUUUUUAUAUUUCCUUUCUUAUUGCAGCCUCCACUUACGGACUGUUAUUGUUCACUCUUUGUAGUUGUUGUUUAAGUUGGUUGUAUUUAGUCGGGCUUUAAAAUACCAGCUGUGUGUUCACAUACAGUGAAUUUGAGGCAGGUGGAUGUGACUGUAUAUUCAGUGUGAACCGUAUAAUGUCUAUUUAGUGAUGAUAUUUAGGUGUUUUUAAAAUAAAACUGAGUUUCCUUACUGUAAAUCAGUAAUAUACAGAUGCAUCAGUUGAAGUUUAGCUGCCAGGUCUUUGUAUACUGCUUACAUCUGCCCCAAUGACCCCGCUGCCCCCCCUCCAUAACCCCGCUGCCCCCCCUCCAUAAUGCUUUUUACUGUACGGUGCAGACGUUGCCAAUCAGGUCACAUUAAGUAAAAUAUGGUAUAUUUCAGUAAUGAAGCACAACUUGUCUGCUUUAUAACUUAAGUGUUUUGCACCUGUAUCUGGUAUCAGGUCCGAUACUGUCAACCAGUCCUGGAAACACCUGGAAAUGGAUUUAAAUAACCAGAAAUCCUGGAAAUAAUCUGAGUUGUCCUUUAAAUGUUUAUUGUAUUUCAGUUUGUGCUGUGGCCAAAUUAAUGUUACGGUUAAAGGACAGCUGUAGUCAGUCGUCCUUUAUUGUUUUAUUGUGAAGAAAACAUCCUGGAAAGGUCCUGGAAAAAAGGUCCUGGAAAGUGAUUGUAGAUUGUGUAAAACAGCAUAGCUUAAUAAAAGAGGUUUACUUAAAAGAAUCCUCCAGAAGAGUUACAGAACUGAGCUACAAUGCUUCAGGUUUUCUUUUAUUUCAGUUUAUAAGCAUCCAAAUAAUCCUAAUAAUCCCCAAAGUGUAAAGAUGUCUCCAGUAAACUUCAGUAGAACUUCAGUAGAACUUCAGAUGAACUGAACCCAACAGCUUUAUAAUGUCGCUGUUAUGACGUAAUGACCUCCUCCUUCUAUAGUUUCCUUUCUGUGGGCGCGGUGGCGAGGGAUUCUGACCAUCAGUAACUGUAUUUAAACAGCUGUCAGGCCCGAGUGAGGCGGUGGUUCUGGUUCUGGUUCUGACAGCAGUGGAGGUCGAACUGGAGCAGCCGCACUGACAUUGAGUUCCUCUGGAUCGGAUCCAGACCGGCUGCUUUAUAUUUGUCACCUGAGCUCCAGAGAAAGGAGCGUGAUCCGAUUGUAAAAGAUAUUCUUCAGUAAGGUCGUCGGUUCUUAUGAUAUUGAACAUCACAGGAUGAAGGAUGACGCUGGUUGAUCGUCGAUUGAUCUGCACAUUAUUUCCUGUUAGUAGAUAAAUCUGUAGAGUCGGAGGCCCAAAGUAAUCAGAUUACUGUGACAGAAAACACAGAAAACCAACAGAUUGUGACGUUUGAGAACCGGAACAGCUGCUCUACAAAUAACGAUUAAUCAAUAAUUCAAAUAAUCGCUGAUUAAUCUUCUGUCAGUCGACUAAUUAAUUAAUUGGUUCCUCUUCAUCUUUAACAGGUUUUAUGUGACUGAGCUGUCACACACUGAGGGACUGCUUUAUUAAUCGAUUUAUUGAUUUCACUCAGUGUUAAUAACAAAUAUUCUCAGACGUUAGAGCUGAGAGUCUCAUCAAUAAGUCCAUAAAAUAAUAAAUAAUAAUAAUUCAGUUCAGAGUUACAUUCAAAUAAUUAAUUAAUGUGAUUUCCAAAAGGUCCAGAAUAUAAAAUAUAAGGAACCGUAAUGUAAAGUGUCUGUGUUCACAUGAGCACUAUUAUUCUGAAUAUGACCAUAUUUAAUGUUUAAUAAUGUCAUAAAUCAGGUAAACAUUAUAUUCUGUUCUCAUACGUUCAAUAGUUUAACUUUAAAACUGUCAGACUGUCGGUGAACCGUCGAUCAUACAGGAGACGUCUCAGCUCAUCUAUAGAGACAGUAAACUAUAUAGUGGUUAUAUCUGUGCUUAUUGCAUCAGAAUCAGCUCAUAUGUUAUCUGAUACUCACAAUAUUGUGUUAACUCUUUACAUUAAAUCUGUUUCCUGUUAAAAGGACCUCAGACUGUAGAGAAAUUGAAUGAAAAUGUAUUAUUAUUAUAAAUGAAUCACAGCCAAUCAAUGAUCAGCCCAUAGUAAUAAAUCAUAAUUAAAUUACUAUUCAAAACCAUUGAUCGUUCAUUCAUUCCAUUGAUAUUUGGUCAUUUUAAUCAGACUGAUUAAUCUGUUGUUACAACAAACAGCUCCGACUCUAAAGUUCAUUUAUUUCUUCUAUAAACUUCAGACUGUGGCUUUAAUAUCACUGUGACAGUAAAACUUUGAUAUGUAUUUAUGCUGCAUUUUAAAGGAAGUUAUAUUAAUAUUAAUUUUAUAGGAUAUAACGUGGAAAAACGCUCCUUCCUCUUCUCUGCGCUCAACUUUGGGAAUUAAAUCUCUUGAGUUGGCUCAUAUUUGUCUGUAACUGUUGAUAUUUGUGUAUAAAUAAACAGUUGCAGUAGCCCCGCCCUCUUUAAUAUCUCGCCCUGAUGCGGCGUUAUCGCGGCGCCUUACUGGAGUAUUUACAGGCUGAUCUGGUGCAGCAGACGUCAACGGGAGGCGGGAGGCGGGCCGGGUUCGGUGCUGAGGUCUUAUCUGAGGCUGGCAGAGGUUCACACACAGGAUGUAACGUCAUACCUGCUGCAGACCACGCUGCCCCUCACCUGUUCUCACACACACACACUAAUGUGAACCAGAGGACCCCCCCGGCCUCCUCCACUACACCUCCUCUGAUCUCGUCCUUUAACCACUGACUGUGGAUGACUCAGCACUUUUCCUGCCUGCCACACUAGUGAACCUGAUGUCAUUAAAUGUCUCACAGUCGGCCCCGAAUGGGAAAUAUCUCCAAACACUUGCAGUGAAUGUAGCCCCCAGUUAUUCUCCCCAUGGAUUUAAUGUGCUCGGUUCAUCAGUUUUAAUCAGAUAGUUAAAUAUACAGUGAAAGUGCUCACUGUUGUUGCACUGCGGGCACAAACAUCCAGAAACAAACGUUUCUUGUUUUGUUUUGACGCAUUUUUGUUGUUUUUUUAGCGGCUAGCAUCACGCUAACACUUUGUACUUCCUGUGACUGGCUUACUUCAAAAUAAAAGUCCAUUUGUGUGUAGCCUUCAGUUAAUAAUAUUCAGUUAAUGGUGCAGCCCUUUGUUUCUUUUAUAAUAUAGUUUGACCGUCAUUGGAAUUGCUGAUGUUAAGCUAGCUCGAGCUAACGUUAGACUACAGGAAAGGUUGGUCGGUCGGGUUUAGACCCGAAGUCG